AUUGAACGCUGGCGGCAUGCCUUACACAUGCAAGUCGAACGGUAACGGGCCUUCGGGUGCCGACGAGUGGCGAACGGGUGAGUAAUACAUCGGAACGUGCCCGAUCGUGGGGGAUAACGAGGCGAAAGCUUUGCUAAUACCGCAUACGAUCUACGGAUGAAAGCAGGGGACCGCAAGGGCUUGCGCGGACGGAGCGGCCGAUGGCAGAUUGGGUAGUUGGGGGGAUAAAAGCUUACCAAGCCGACGAUCUGUAGCUGGUCUGAGAGGAUGAUCAGCCACACUGGGACUGAGACACGGCCCAGACUCCUACGGGAGGCAGCAGUGGGGAAUUUUGGACAAUGGGCGCAAGCCUGAUCCAGCCAUGCCGCGUGCAGGAUGAAGGCCUUCGGGUUGUAAACUGCUUUUGUACGGAACGAAAAGCCUUCUUUUAAUACAGGAGGGUCAUGACGGUACCGUAAGAAUAAGCACCGGCUAACUACGUG
rnacentral:rRNA from 1 species